rnacentral:rRNA from 1 species
AUAGCGUAUAUUAAAGUUGUUGCAGUUAAAAAGCUCGUAGUUGGAUUUCUGGGAGGGUGGUCUCGCUCCGCCUGCGGGCGUGAGUGAGAUUGCCCUCCCAUCCUUCUGUUAACGAUUCUUGGUAUUCAUUUACUGGUUUCGGGCUCAGAUAUUUUACCUUGAGAAAAUUAGAGUGUUUAAGGCAGGCUUGCGCCGGAAUACAUUAGCAUGGAAUAAUAGAAUAGGACUUUAGUCCCUUUUGUUGGUCUUCAGGGGCUGAAGUAAUGAUUAAUAGGGAUAGUUGGGGGCAUUAGUAUUUAAUUGUCAGAGGUGAAAUUCUCGGAUUUGUUAAAGACUAACAUAUG